rnacentral:rRNA from 1 species
GACGAACGCUGGCGGCAUGCCUAAUACAUGCAAGUUGAACGAUGAUAUUCUCUGCUUGCAGAGAAUUGAAGAGUAGCGAACGGGUGAGUAACACGUGGGGAACCUGCCCAUGAGAGGGGGAUAACAUUCGGAAACGGAUGCUAAUACCGCAUAAUGCUUUGGACCGCCUGGUCCAGAGACGAAAGACGGCUUUUGCUGUCACUCAUGGAUGGCCCCGCGCCGUAUUAGCUAGUUGGUGAGGUAAUGGCUCACCAAAGCUGUGAUACGUAGCCGACCUGAGAGGGUGAUCGGCCACACUGGAACUGAGACACGGCCCAGACUCCUACGGGAGGCAGCAGUAGGGAAUCUUCCGCAAUGGGCGAAAGCCUGAUGGAGCAAUGCCGCGUGAAUGAAGAAGGUCUUCGGAUCGUAAAGUUCUGUUAUUAGAGAAGAACAAGUCAAGGAGUAACUGUCUUGACUUUGACGGUACCUAACCAGAAAGUCACGGCUAACUACGUG